GACGUAGGGUGCGAGCGUUGUCCGGAUUUAUUGGGCGUAAAGAGCUCGUAGGCGGCUCGUCGCGUCGACCGUGAAAACCCGCGGCUUAACUGCGGGCUUGCGGUUGAUACGGGCGGGCUAGAGUUCGGUAGGGGAGACUGGAAUUCCUGGUGCAGCGGUGAAAUGCGCAGAUAUCAGGAGGAACACCGGUGGCGAAGGCGGGUCUCUGGGCCGAUACUGACGCUGAGGAGCGAAAGCGUGGGGAGCGAACAGG
rnacentral:rRNA from 1 species